CAACUCAAAUAUAUACUAGUAAUCUGUGACACAACUCAUUUAUGUACUAGUUACUACUUUAGUGUCAAGAACCGAGAAAAUAAUUAAAUAAUAAAUAAAAUGUUUUCGCCGGUUGUACAGAAAAAAAUUUUUAUGAUCCAAGAAAAAAUUGGUGCAUUAUCAAGCAAAAUAAAAAUUGCCGCUAUACUGAUCCUGGCGUUUGCGUUAUACACUUACGUGCUUAUUAUGAUGAAGACUAUUUAUUAUAAAAUGAAAAGACUUGAGACACUAGAUGAGCUGACAAUGAAAACUCAUACAAUGAUUCACGAGCUGCAUCUUCUUGACCAAGAAGUCGGGAUACAAACUGAAGAGUAUGAUGACUUCUAUCCAGAUUACUGAACUCUCGUCUCUUGAUGUUAAAUCCCACGGCAAUGUUAUAAAACAGUAGUCAGCUGCAGAAAUUUUUGUUUUAAGCUGUGCUGUAGUUAUGUAAGUGCAUAUCAGUAUUAUAUGGUAUUAUUAAUGCUAAUCUUUACAGUUAAGCUGUAGGCUCAACUCUCACUGCGGCAGAGUCGAAAUGUUGCGACACAAGAUUUUUGCCUGCAGCAUAUUAAUUUGUAUUGUUCUUUAAAUAAUAAUAAUAAUAAAGCCUUUUAUUC